UUGUUGCUCAAGAAACGUUGAUCUUUGUCACAAGCCGACUUUGGAAAAAGUUUCAAAAUCAACACAAAGUGACGGCCCUUUUGUGGUUCCUGAAGACACAAGUGGAGCGUCAUCUUUAGAUCAAAACUCGGGAUUAGGAUCACAGGUCCCGGAACAAUCAAUCCAAGAUCCCAACUGUUCCUCAGAGAACUUCGCCACUGAAAAUGAUGAAGAGUCGGACAUCGUUGUGGCGGAAACCACUUCAUCUCAGUACUUCGUACCCACAGAAUCUCGUCCUAACCAGGAAACGAAGGUGCACCCAUCCCAUUUGCAGACAUCUAUACGAUGGUUACAAGAACAC